GGUCUCGCGAUCAUUCAUCCUCGCUCUCGCUCUGUUUUACUUUAUUUAUUUAUCAUCUUUUUGCCUAGCGACUGACAACCGGCGGCUUCCUGCACUUAGGGAUCCCUGAAGUGGCCGGGCCUGAGAGUGAGACCCCAGUCUUCGGCUGGGGUUCUUUCCAAGUAGAGGAAACGGAUCCAGAAGGGCUACAGACCAGAAUUGUUGAGAACCAGACGUACGAUGAGCGUCUAGAGGUUAACGAUUCGGAAGAGGUUGCCAGCAUUAGCACUCCAAGCCCAGGACAUCAAGGAUCCCUGCUUCCUGCUGGUCUCCCUGACAAGACCAUGGCUGACAACAGCAGUGACGAGUAUGAAGAGGAAAACAAGG